rnacentral:rRNA from 1 species
UCAAAUUUAAAAUCUGGUGGUCCUCGACCAUCCCAGUUGUAAUUUASAGAAGCGUCUUCCGCGCUGGACCGUGCACAAGUCUCCUGGAAUGGAGCGUCAUAGAGGGUGAGAAUCCCGUCUUUGGCACGGAUACCCCAGGGCAUUCUGUGAUGCGCUCUCGAAGAGUCGAGUUGUUUGGGAAUGCAGCUCAAAAUGGGUGGKGAACUCCAUCUAAAGCUAAAUAUUGGCGAGAGACCGAUAGCGAACAAGUACCGUGAGGGAAAGAUGAAAAGCACUUUGGAAAGAGAGUGAAACAGUACGUGAAAUUGUUGAAAGGGAAACGCUUGAAGUCAGUCGCGUCGACCGAGACUCASCCUCGCCUCGGCUUGGUGUAUUUCUCGGCUGACGGGUCAGCAUCAAUUUYUUCUCUCGGAUAAUGGCAAGARAAAGGUGGCACCUUUACGGGUGUGUUAUAGUCUCCUGUCGCAUGSGAGGGGUGGGGAUUGAGGAACUCAGCACGCGCCUCUCGGUGUCGGGGCUUCGGCUCACGCUACGUGCUUAGGAUGCUGGCGUAAUGGCUUUAAACGACCCGUCUUGAAACACGGACCAAGGAGUCUAACAUGCCCGCGAGUGUUUGGGUGGAAAACCCAUGCGCGUAAUGAAAGUAAAAGUUGGGACCUCUGUCGUGGAGGGCACCGACGCCCGGACCAAACCUUCUGUGACGGAUCUGCGGUGGAGCGUGCAUGUUGGGACCCGAAAGAUGGUGAACUAUGCCUGAAUANGGUGAAGCCAGAGGAAACUCUGGUGGAGGCUCGUAGCGAUUCUGACGUGCAAAUCGAUCRUNAAAUUUGGGUAURGGGGCGAAAGACUAAUCRAACCAU